AACGAACGCUGGCGGCAGGCCUAACACAUGCAAGUCGAACGAGACCUUCGGGUCUAGUGGCGCACGGGUGCGUAACGCGUGGGAACCUGCCUUUAGGUUCGGAAUAACUCAGAGAAAUUUGAGCUAAUACCGGAUGAUGUCUUCGGACCAAAGAUUUAUCGCCUUUAGAUGGGCCCGCGUUGGAUUGGCUAGUUGGUGGGGUAAAGGCCUACCAAGGCGACGAUCCAUAGCUGGUCUGAGAGGAUGAUCAGCCACACUGGGACUGAGACACGGCCCAGACUCCUACGGGAGGCAGCAGUGGGGAAUAUUGGACAAUGGGCGAAAGCCUGAUCCAGCAAUGCCGCGUGAGUGAUGAAGGCCUUAGGGUUGUAAAGCUCUUUUACCCGAGAUGAUAAUGACAGUAUCGGGAGAAUAAGCUCCGGCUAACUCCGUGCCAGCCGCCGCCGUAAGAC
rnacentral:rRNA from 1 species